AAGAUACUCCCUCCGUCCCAAAAUAAGUGUCUCAACCUUAGCACAACUUUGUACUAAAGUUAGUACAAAGUUGAGACACUUAUUUUGGGACGGAGGGAGUAUAAG
rfam:Triticum aestivum genome assembly, contig: Triticum_aestivum_CS42_TGACv1_scaffold_592030_7BS